rnacentral:rRNA from 1 species
UACGUAGGGUGCGAGCGUUGUCCGGAAUUAUUGGGCGUAAAGAGCUUGUAGGUGGCUCGUCGCGUCGGGAGUGAAAACCCGCGGCUUAACCGCGGGCCUGCUUUCGAUACGGGCAGGCUAGAGUUCGGUAGGGGAGACUGGAAUUCCUGGUGUAGCGGUGAAAUGCGCAGAUAUCAGGAGGAACACCGAUGGCGAAGGCAGGUCUCUGGGCCGAUACUGACGCUGAGGAGCGAAAGCGUGGGGAGCGAACAGG